rnacentral:rRNA from 1 species
GAACGCUGGCGGCAUGCCUUACACAUGCAAAGUCGAACGGCAGCACGGGAGCUUGCUCCUGGUGGCGAGUGGCGAACGGGUGAGUAAUAUAUCGGAACGUACCUAGAGUGGGGGAUAACGCAGCGAAAGUUGCGCUAAUACCGCAUACGAUCUACGGAUGAAAGCGGGGGAUCGCAAGACCUCGCGCGAUUGGAGCGGCCGAUAUCAGAUUAGGUAGUUGGUGAGGUAAAGGCUCACCAAGCCAACGAUCUGUAGCUGGUCUGAGAGGACGACCAGCCACACUGGAACUGAGACACGGUCCAGACUCCUACGGGAGGCAGCAGUGGGGAAUUUUGGACAAUGGACGCAAGUCUGAUCCAGCCAUUCCGCGUGCAGGAUGAAGGCCCUCGGGUUGUAAACUGCUUUUGUACGGAACGAAAAGGUUUGUCUUAAUACGAUGAGCUCAUGACGGUACCGUAAGAAUAAGCACCGGCUAACUACGUG